CGCUAGCGGCAGGCCUAACACAUGCAAGUCGAGGGGCAGCGGGGAUAAGCUUGCUUAUCCGCCGGCGACCGGCGCACGGGUGCGCAACGCGUAUAGAAUCUGCCCUGUACUGGGGAAUAGCCCAGAGAAAUUUGGAUUAAUGCCCCAUGGUAUGUAUUAGCGGCAUCGCUUAUACAUUAAAGGCUACGGUACAGGAUGACUAUGCGUCCCAUUAGUUAGUUGGUAAGGUAACGGCUUACCAAGGCAGCGAUGGGUAGGGGCCCUGAGAGGGGGAUCCCCCACACUGGUACUGAGACACGGACCAGACUCCUACGGGAGGCAGCAGUGAGGAAUAUUGGACAAUGGGCGGGAGCCUGAUCCAGCCAUGCCGCGUGCAGGAAGACGGUCCUAUGGAUUGUAAACUGCUUUUGUACGGGAAGAAACAAGGGGCACGUGUGCCCCUCUGACGGUACCGUAAGAAUAAGGAUCGGCUAACUCCGUGCCAGCAGCCGCGGUAAUACGGAGGAUCCGAGCGUUAUCCGGAAUCAUUGGGUUUAAAGGGUCCGUAGGCGGGCCAUUAAGUCAGGGGUGAAAGUCUGCGGCUCAACCGUAGAAUUGCCCUUGAUACUGGUGGUCUUGAGUUAUGGGGAAGUAACUAGAAUAUGUAGUGU
rnacentral:rRNA from 1 species